GCCCUGCGGAAGUGGAGGGAGGCCAAGGGCCGGGUGCAGCCCAGGCCAGGUGCAUCCAAAGCAGGGCAGGAGGAGAACAAAUUCAGAGAAAGGAAGGGGCACAUUUGAGUGACUGCUCAGAAGUUGAGAAGGAAAAGGAGGACGGGGCCAGCACAACUGCUGGGGCUUGGGUCAGUGUCCCUUGGGAAUGGCUCAGCUGGUGGGACACCAUGGGGAGGAAGAGGCCCUGGUUCCCCCAGGCUGGCUUCUCUCUCAGCCUCCCACUCUCCGCAGUUCCUAACAGUGGGCUGGGUGCCAACUCAGCCAUCCCCACACUGCUUGCGGGCACCCCACCCCAGCCCCACCCCUUGGAGACUCACCCACUGUUCUGGAGUGAUGUCCUGGCAGCUGACCACCACCCCGGCCAGCAUCAGGAGGCUGUGGCACAGAAUCAGGAGGAGUCAGCCAUCCAGAAAUGCACACUGUCCCCCAGCCUUGUGCUGGGGCAGCAGAGGGCACCUUCGGGGGAGAAAAUUUCAUCCACUCUGACCUCUGCAGUCUCUGUUUCCUGGGCUGACCUUACCAUAGGCACUGUGGUCAGGGUGCCUCUGUGCAAACAGCAAAGGGAGGAAGUCCCCUCUGGAGGGAUGUGGCCCAUGGCCCCACAGCUCCUGGACUCGGCUUACCCCUUGGCAGAAUGCCACCUGCACCAACACGGAUGCAGCCUGCCUGGACAGUUGCCUUGCUGACUCAAGGAGGCAGGAUCGGUGGCAGAUGACCAGCCUCAAGGACGAGCAGGAAUGGGAGAGGCAGGCUCUAGAGAUGUCGGCAGGUCAUAACAAAGAAUCCAGUCUUACCCUGGGCAAGUCUUCAAACCAAGCCCUCUCCUGAAGGCUGCCAGACCGGGUGUGGCAGACAGACCUUGUCUCUGGCAGGAGGACCCUGCGGGAGCAGGCAACUUCUGCUCCAAGGUCGCACCCCCUGACCUUGACUUUGGCAGGCACUAAAGAAGGAAGCAGAGGGCGGUUGUGAAAGUUCUGUUCCCAAAGCCAAGCUGACUUGAGAAGCGACUCUGACCAGGACAGG